UAGCGUAGGGGGCAAGCGUUGUCCGGAAUCAUUGGGCGUAAAGCGCGUGUAGGCGGCCUUGUAAGUCCGUUCUGAAAGUCCGGGGCUCAACCCCGGGAGGCGGAUGGAUACUGCAAGGCUCGAGUCCGGAAGAGGCAAGUGGAAUUCCCGGUGGUAGCGGUGAAAUGCGCAGAUAUCGGGAGGAACACCAAUGGCGGAAGGCAGCUUGGCUGGGACGGUACUGACGCUGAGACGCGAAAGCGUGGGGAGCAACAGG
rnacentral:rRNA from 1 species